AACGCGAAGAACCUUACCCAGGCUCGAAAUGUAGAGGACGAUCACAGAGAUGUGAUUUCUCGAAAGGGUCUCUAUAUAGGUGCUGCAUGGCUGUCGUCAGCUCGUGCCGUGAGGUGUUUGGUUAAGUCCAGCAACGAGCGCAACCCUUAUUGUCAGUUGCCAACAUGUAAUGGUGGGGACUCUGGCAAGACUGCCUAGGUUAACUAGGAGGAAGGUGAGGAUGACGUCAAGUCCGCAUGGCCUUUAUGUCUGGGGCUACACACGUGCUACAAUGGUCGGUACAGAAGGCAGCGAAGCCGCAAGGCGGAGCAAAUCCGAAAAACCGAUCUCAGUUCAGAUUGCAGUCUGCAACUCGGCUGCAUGAAGUUGGAAUUGCUAGUAAUGGCGUGUCAGCAACAGCGCCGUGAAUACGUUCCCGGGCCUUGUACACACCGCUCGUC
rnacentral:rRNA from 1 species